rnacentral:ncRNA from 1 species
CGAUAUGUUGUGUCUGUCGGUGCCCCGCCAGACGCGAUCGUCGGCAGGGCUCAAAAGGGAAUCCGGUGCGAAUCCGGAACUGCCCCGCAGCGGUAAGCGGAAACGAACGCCCAAGGGCCGGAGUCCGUCCGUUCGGGAGAUGGGUGACACCGUCAUCGGUGUCGCUGGCCAGGUGCAGCAACGAGCCAUGGUGGUGCCAUGGCGAGGCGCGGCAACGACGCCAGCGGCGGCGGGGACACGUCAGACACUCCCGAACGGGUGGACUCCGGCCCUCAAGCACUGGCUCGCAGCGGCCGGGAAGCGAAGGCAAGUAGGUGGGUCGCAAGACCCGGGUCCGCGAGUCCGAAGACCUGCCGACACGGCAUGGCCGGA